rnacentral:lncRNA from 1 species
GCACCAAGUUAUAAACUUGCAUAACAUUACAGGAUUGCAUCCUUGGAUCAAACCUGUGCAAUUAAAAAAAAGAAAUAAUUUUAACAAAUGCUACUAAUAACAAUCCUGGGUUAGGAUGGAAAUAACAAGAUUAAAGUUGAUUGGCAUGGUUUUCACUUUUAAAAAGUGAUUUAUUUAUUUUUUUUAAUAUUACCAAGUCACUUUUCUUUUUGUUAGCUUCUAGUACUAGAAGGGAAUGUUCACUCCAGAGAAGAUACAAGUUUUUGUAUGUUUGUCUAUAAAAUGAAAAAAGCAUAACAUCUUUGUCAUAGAUUAUGUAGGUGGCAUAUGUCGGAUAGAUCUGCAGAAAGCCACAUCUAAGAGUAUCUGAGCCUGCACAGGAAAAAGAAAACUGGUGUUAUUUUCCAAGAAUAAAUUAGAAGUUUUAACUAGAGUCUUCCAUGCAAGUAUUAAUCAACAAGAAGUAUCACAGGUAUACAGAAGUAGAGAAAGUAGGUGUAAGGAGUUUCUUCGCAGGAAAGACUAUUCCUGAAUGA